CCAUUUCUUAUCCCAACCACAGGUACUGGUGCAUGGGAAAGUGCACUUACCAACACAUUGUCUCCUGGAGAUCGGAUUGUCUCUUUCCUGAUUGGACAAUUCAGUUUGCUCUGGAUCGAUCAGCCAGCGACUUGGCUUCAACGUUGAUGUUGUCGAAAGCGAGUGGGGUCAAGGUGCCAACCUUGACAUUCUGGCAUCAAAACUGGCAGCAGACACUGCACACACUAUUAAGGCUGUUUGCAUUGUUCAUAAUGAGACAGCAACUGGAGUUACCAACAAUUUGGCAAAAGUGAGAAGAAUACUUGAUGACUACAGUCAUCCAGCUCUCUUUCUUGUUGAUGGAGUAUCCUCCAUAUGUGCU
rnacentral:misc_RNA from 1 species